rnacentral:rRNA from 1 species
UACGGAGGGUGCAAGCAUUGAUCGGAAUUACUGGGCGUAAAGGGCGCGUAGGCGGCAAGAAAAGUCAGGUGUGAAAUUCCAGGGCUCAACCCUGGAGCUGCAUUUGAAACUAUCUAGCUAGAGUAUAGUUAGGGUAAACGGAAUUCCACGUGUAGCGGUGAAAUGCGUAGAUAUGUGGAAGAACACCGGUGGUGAAGACGGUUUACUGGGCUAAAACUGACGCUGAGGCGCGAAAGCGUGGGGAGCAAACAGG